AUGCAUCUUACUAAUAGACAAUCUUUGCUUCCACGUAGGUGUCGUGGUCCUGAGCUGACAGAGAGGAGUCAAAAGACAGAAGCUGCUCUUGACUUUAUUUACAGCUAUCCCAGCAGAAGCCAACUGAGGAGAGGGAAACUAGCUAAGAUUUCCAUGGACAACAGGAAGAAGCCAGCGGGUUCCUCCAACUCUGGGAGCUUGGUUUACUGGUCCCUCCCCUUUCUGCGGCAACCAGCCAGGGUCCUGAUCGUGGAGGCACUGCCACCCUGGUGGUCUGACACUUGUAUGGUGUUCUGUGAUGCCCUGGACAACUUCCUUUCCCUGGCCUGUAGUCUGGAUGGACCCUGUAGGAUACCGCUCCUCAGCUUGUACGCCAUCAGCAGGCAGCAGGAAUGUCUACUGCCAUUUGUGCAGGUUCGUGGCAACUUGGCCAGGCUACGUUCCUGUGUCGAGGAGCUGAGGUCUAUUCCAGGUGAUGGCUGCAUCAGGGGGUCAGCCAGGGGAGGGGAGCUGCUGCGACAGGCAGUGCUGGACAGUCUGCAGCAGUUUAAACAGUACAUCAGACAUACCAGCACUGGCAACCAGGCAAGCAACAACACAUCUGUGGAGGUUACCGUGGUGACCAGUCAGCCAGGGCGGGGUAUUGUCCACCAGUUGGAAGUGGGGCUCAAAGAUGUUGAUCUGGUGUCACUGAAGCGGCUCCUGGUGGUCCAGAUCCAUAGUGUGGCAGACUGUAGCCAAGACACUCCCUCACCUGAGGCCACACACACUGAAGACAGUCUGAUGUUGGGGACGGAGGUUGACCUGCUGCAGCUGGACAACAGUGUGUUCGCCAUGGAAACAGUGUUAAAGGCGUGGCUUCAGGAGCAGGGGGGAGACAGAGAACACCUCCACCUUCUUCUGCCAAGCCCCCUGGACAAUCCCAUCCCAGUGUGUAUUAAGUGUGACAUGCAGGAGCGUCUGAUAAGCCCUGCCCUCAUCCCCCUGACCCCCAACCUGGGAGUGAAGACCGAGAGCGUCCGUGACUUCAUGCCUGUCACUAAGGGCUCAACCAAUCAGAGCACAGCUCCACAGAGACUGAAAGUAAUCAAGGCACUGCGAGCAGACGGACUGUGUGAGAGUGUGUUGUACGGCCUGCCGCUGGUGAUCCGCCCCACCACCUGCUGGCAGCUGGACUGGGACGAAAUGGAGACCAACCACAACUUGUUUCACGCUCUCUGCCACACACUUAGGAGUCGUGACUUGUUCCUGCUGCUGCAGGUGGAGCCUGCCCAGAGGUCUACAGCUGGAGGCUCAGGUGUGUAUUCUCACUAUGUCCUCCAGCCUUCCCCGUCUCUCUCCCUCCUCCUGAAGCCGGUGGUCUCCAGAGAAUUGUUGCUGCCCUGCUCACUGCCUGUCUCAACUCAGGACCCUUCACCUGAAACCAUGCAGAUUAUUCAGGGUUGUCUAUCUCAGCUGGACGAGGAGUUUGUGUUCAACCCCCUCUCCUUGAGCAGUAACCUCUACCAGCACCUCAGGAGCCGAGGCCUGCUCUCACAGCCGCGAUACCCCUACAGGGUCCAGCCAGCUGCCCACAGAGACCAGUCUCAACCACUAGAGGGCCCUAAGAGCACAGCCAGCAGACAGCCUCGGCAGCAGCAAAACCAGAGUCGCCAACUGGGAAUGAACAGCAAGGUCAGAGCCACUGUGGCUCCUCUGCCUUCCACCUCCUCCUCCUCCUCCUCCUCCUCCUGCUCUUCCUCCAUGGGACCUCCUCCGGCUAAGGCUUCUCGUCCAGCUUUGACCCUCAUGAGCAGCAGCAGUGGAAGCCGCCGGGCCACAGCCCCUACGCAGCAGGAGGAAGACGAUGAUGGUGACUCCAUGGUAAUACUGUAAGAAAGGAUGGAGGGUGAGUGGAAGAAAGUGCGUAAAGAGAGCAAUGCGGUGAUGGGGAAGUGAUGAAGAGGGAGAGGUGGUGCAGUACGUACCUAACUAGUCAUUUUACACACUCACGCACGCACACUUUACAGUCACACAGCGUGCUGAAUGAGGCCUUCCAUAUCCUGACCUAUCAUUUCAAAAAGCCUUUCCAGUUACUAUACAGUAAGACAGCACAGCUUAGUCAACACACACACACACACACACACACACAUAUAGCUAAUUGGUCUCCAUUGUCAAGUUUGUGAGUAAUCAGACAGCUCAUAAAACCUUUAAAGACUUUGUAAAGGUGGAAAAGACACACACUCCUUUGCGUGUAAACGUGCAUGACACACACUUCUGUGGUAGACUCUGGGUAGUUACAGCCUCUUUUGAUACUACUGUUCAUCUCUGUUUUAGCAGUCCCACCACACAGUGUAACUGUAAGUUACAUUUGAAUUUAACAAGCCCCUGUGUGUGCAUGUGUGUGAGAAAGGGAAGUUUCGACUCACCGCCAUCUGCAUCUUGCUGAGACAGCAGAACUUCAAAGAAUGGCACACCAUAAACAAUGAAAAGAUGAAAAGAAUGGAAACAGCGGGACACUGGAGGCCUUAAAAAGUCAGAAAAGGAGGGAAGGAACGGAAAGUUCAUUAGAAAUUACCAAAAAAAAAAAAAAAAGGUGGGUGUUUGUGCGUGAGAAAAGGAGAGGAGGCUGUCGGAUAAAAAGCAUUGUGUGCAUGUCACCGCACGCAAAGUUUAACUGAAAAAAUCAAAAAAGCAGAAAAAAACAAGAUGUAAAAAUACAAAUGUAUACGAAUAGUAUAUACUGACUAAUAGACAAACACACAUAUGCACAUUCCUUUUCCAUUUUGCCCUUAAGCCCUGGUCUGAACACAGCUUCACUGUUUUAACGAGACAGAGAAUAAAGCAUCAGACAGAGGGGCCUCUCUGCUCUCCUUCACCCCCACAGCAAGGACUCUCUCUGGGGGUUGAAAGGCAGCGUGAAGGGGGGGGCGGUGGAUGGAAGGAGAACAGAGAUGAGAGGAAACUGAUAAAAAACCUGAGAAUGUUCUUAAAAAAUUGUGAAAUACGGCAACUUUUUCACAGUUUGUAAGAAAGGAGAAAAUUUCCAUUGUCUGUGUGUGUGAGUGUGUGAUUGAGACAAGGGUCAAUUAGAGUUCAUGCAUUUACAUCACGGCUUGAUUUCUGCACAAUGUCAGGCUUUUCUCAAAUUACAUUCACUCACAUUUAGUCAUUGACUUAUUGCUCAUACGCACAUAUCUGUCAGUUACACACAUCCAUCGUCACUGUUAUUAAUUUUGCCUUCCUCACACAUGCACACACUGUUACAUAGGCUUAAUCAGUCUCCCGCCAUUCCACCCCCUUGUUGAACCUUAUAACAUUAGGGACUACCAGUGGCAAAUGACUUCAUGACGCUGUGAUGUCACAGGACUUCCGCAUUCAGGAAUUACAACCACAACGAUCCUUUUGUCUCUGAGGAGAAGUCAAGCGGACCUCCAAAACUUCCCACUGACAUUUUACCCACUUCUCCCUCUCUCUCCGUCCUUUCCCUUUUCUCUCUCUGGCUCAGUACUUUCCUCUUAUUGCUCAGUGGCUCAGAGAAGUUGAGUCAAUGUGUGCGAAUUUCAUAAAUUUGUUCAAAUAGAACAACAGCAGCUUCUCUGUCCCCCAAAAAGGUCAAAGGGCUGAAGCCAAAGUUCCCCUGUGCGACACUGAACGCUAUCAGCCACUCUCCUCAGUAAAUGUCACAACUGUAAGAAAUUCAUGGGAUGCGGCCACCAGUUAACAAAAGCGUGAUUAUUUGUGCAAACUCAUUCAGAGUUGGAUUUGACAGAAAUCGUCUCGUUGGUCUGGAGGUGUUUCAGAUUUUGUUUUCAGUUUUUGACAGAUAGCAGAUGUUCUUUUUUUAAGAAAGUUAUUAGUUCAUCAUUUUUGUUUCUACAGCUUGUUAUCAUAGUGCUGACUCAGUCAUGUUCCUGUUCAACUUUCGUGUUGUGUGCGUUGACUGUUUUUAAUCUAAUUUAUUGUCUGAGCUACAAAGGAAAUUGAAAAAGAUUUAUGUAAGUUAGUUGGUGAUAUUUCAGCCGAUUCAGGAUAUUGUGAGUUUUACAUAUUUAUAUAUAUAUAUUUAUUGACCUUCUGUCAGAUUUGUAGUUCUGCUCAUGAACUUUGGGUUAAUAAAUUGUCCUUAAGUUACAUUUUGGUUGGAUGAUUUGUAUGACAGCUAUCUUAACCACAUUUAACCUUUUAACACCCACUAAUUCAGCCGCGAGACACUAAGAUAAUCACAUCAAAUAAAGGUCAAACAUGUGCAGCUGUCCCACAUUUCAAUUCAUUCAGUUAUGUUGAAUAUUUCAGUUGCCUUUAUCCAAUUAUGUUGAAUGCUUUGGCCAACAGUGUCGAUGAAAUAAAGUGAAAAUAUCACUUUUGAUGAGUCAAUAAUUAGCAGUUUUAGACCCAAAAAGAAAAAUGCUGACCCAAUUAGUUUUUUUUCUGGCACCAGGGCUGGAAUAGCCUCUCAUCUUAUCUGGUCUCAAGUGAAACCUUAAAAAUAUGAUUUCUUGCUAUCCUCAAAGGAGUCUUAAAGUCUGACAGUGUAAUAAAUCUGAAAACUUUGUGUCCAAAUCGAUUGUGUUGCUCUAAUUAUCACAAAUGUAGUAUUUGUUUUAAUUUAGGUGGGCCAAUCCAAAAGGAGAAGGAGUCAUAAAUGACAUUUAAGGAUCUUUCAGUUAUUCUUAGAACAUUGAAAAAACUGUUUUUAAUCCCAUUUUUUUAUAUCAAAAGACAACAGAAGGAUGAGUAUGAGUGGUGAGUCUGGAUUGCACACUCAUGUUUAGGAGACAGUUUAGGAGACAGUUUGUCUCUGACUUUUAACGUUUUGAUUCAUCAUUUCCUUCGGGUAGAGAAGUGAACUUUUAUCGCACCAUUUUGUCUCAUUUUGCAGACAUGUCAGUUCACGGACGAUGGCAUGAGUCCAAGUUUUUGUACAUCGAUUUCUUGGCUUCCUCUUUUAUUGAAACGUCUAUCAUUUGCAACUUUUAAAAUAAAUAUGCUUUUUUUUUAAUUUUGACAACAAAAAAAGAACUUUUGUCUGGUUUGGCUAAAAGUAUGAUAAUAUUUCUUCUAUGCCUCAUCAGCCACUAUAUCUGACUCAGGAUAAUAUUAGUGCUGUGACUUCCUGCUUUAUUCUCAAUGUUCCAUUUCCUUCUUUGCUGCAAUCUGCAGAACAGAAAAAAACCUCUUUCAGGCUCUCUAUCUGUCUCAGAAACUCUAAUACACUGUGUCUUUCCUGUAAUUGUCUGUGUGUUCUGGCCACAGUGUCGACACAGCACUCUAACAUACAAACAAAGCAGAAACACACACAAGAGACACAAUUCAUUUAUAGGUUGCAAGCAGAGAAUAAUCGACUCUCACACUGACAGCGCUGAGUGAGAACAGAAAGAGGAAGUGCAUCUUUAGUGAGGAGGAAGUGAGGAGGUGAAGUCAGGAGGCUACAGGGCCUGAACUGUAAUCCCACUGACAGAAAUCUGAAAGGUUUGUGCUCCUACGCAGGUCUCAAAAGUCUUGGAAUUUGAUUUGCUUAUCUGCAUGUCUACAAGAUAAAAUCACAAACAUGAAUCACACUAAAAACCAGCUCUAGUCACCAAAUCUGGUCAUUAGAGUGAGCUCUACAAUGUAUGGAAACGUGUACUUUUUGCAUAAUUAUGGUUUGCUGUAGCAGGAUCAUAAGAUCACUGAAACACUUUAAAACAUCACUUUACAAUUCCCUUUUAGACACAUAUUCUGCCGGGUUUUGCAUACGCAUCUCUUUUAUUUACAUGAGAAACUGUCAUUUCCUUUAGAUAGCACUGAGAGCUGAGUGAGUGAAUGAAACUCUCUUUCAGAGACAAAUGACUGAAUGGAUUGCCUACGCACAGCUAAAAAUAGAUCUUGGUGGUCUACUUUGUGAAAGAUAGAGGAAACCGGACACUUUCAUGUUUGUCUGAGGUCAAAUGUGCAGAAAAGAAAAUGGUGAUAUUUCAGUUAUCUUAAAAACAAAAUGAGGAAAUACUGCAGCUGACAGGUGUGAAUGUUACGCAAGAUGAAGAACAUAAUGUCCACAUUAUCCUAAAAUGAUACUAAAUGUUACAAAUAUCAUGAAUUUUUGAUAUUUCCUAUUCUUUUAACACUUUAACAGUCCUUAGAGAUGAUUUAUAUUACAUUAAUGGGAACAUUAUUGCAUUAAGAGACUUUUUACAGAUUUCAGUAUGUUACCUACAUCACUGGGGAGUUUUUAGAUGUCUUAGCUUGAUCAGUUUGUUAGAUAACACCCAACCCCAGACAUCACCCACCCACUCUGCAGUUUCCCUUAGCUCAACAGAGCUUUAGCAUCUUUCAGCUCAUUGUUUUGGUUUUUCGGCCUGCAACUUUUACUUGGUGCAGUCUCAUCGCUCUCAUCGGCAUCGUUUCCAGUCAAAGAUCUCUGAUAAACAGCAGACAAACAAAAUUAGCAACUAGCUGAUGAACACAGUGGAACAUUUAGCAGCUAAAGAGUUGGUGGCGACCAAAACAGAACUGAAAGGAGAGUAAAUAUUGGAUUCAGUGAUUCAAAAUGAAUGCUUAUCAAUAAGAAACUGUUUGUUAACACAUUCACCAUAUGAACUUAAAAAGGGAACAAUAAGUCAAUGUGUAUACAGCUUGUUGCGCUGCCCCCAUGUGGCCAAAAAAUCAGUUAGUACAGCUUUAACAAUUUAAAAAUUUAAGUCUUAAAACUAUGGGAUAGUUUUUCCAGUAAAGACAGCCCAGCCUCCUAUAUAACACCUGUUGUUGUAAAGGCUAGUUUCAGUGCUUCUUGUUGAUGAACUGAACCUGUUCUCUUUCCAUAAGUCUGACAUGACCUUUUAAAAAAAAAAAAGACAGGUAGGCCAAGUAAGGGGCCUUGAGGGGGAGAGGACAAUUACACAACAUGUAGAGAAAGAGGACAGGAAGCGCGCCACUGACAGGAUAUUAGUUGAACAUUACACGCAUGUGUGUGUGACACAGAGACGUGACGUGCAAAGACCUCAAACCGGCAGAUAAAACUGUCUGGACAAAUAUAGCAUCAUGUGGCUAGAAACAACACACAAACACAAACACGCGACUACAUAAACACGUCUUACCUUGAGCUCAAACCCUGAAAUACAUUUUUGAUUAGAAAAAAUAUGUAAGGACAUGUGAGUGUUAGUCAUGCUAAAGCGAGUGUGUUCAUCUGUACCGAACUAAAGGAGUCUCUUUGUCUCCUUUUUCAACAUUUAUCAGACUAUUGUAAUCUAGAGACUUUGGUGUCAUGUGUUUGUGCCUUCUUACUGACUUGACAUUUCUCUAUAAAACUGAGAGAUCUUGCAGAAGUUGAUCUGAAACUAUGAAGUGAGGUCUCUGAUAUGCUUUCGAUAUGAGGCGUCCAACCUUGAGCGCGCACACACACACGCAUCAUCACACAGGAAUGUGCACUAGGUGAUAUGGUAGCAGAAGUGGAGUGUAUUCUCACAUUUUCACAGACUUAAGUCCCACCCUGAUGAACCAUACACCGAACCAACUUGACAGCAACAGGUCUGUUGGCACAUUUUCUCACACAUAGCCCUGCCUGUAGCUGUCACACACACACACACACACACACACACACACACAUUCAUCAGUGAUCAGGCAGGCAGUUGAGCUGUUCUGCAGAUGCAUGAAAGGUCAAAGCAGAUAUGGAGAGAGAUGUGAAGAAGGAAGGAGAGGAGGUGACAGAAAGCACAGAGGAACAUUUUGAAACAGAACCAGUAAGAGUUGUCAAGACUAUAACCAAAUAUGUUCUUCAUAAGUUCUAAUUACCCAGUAUUUUAUGCCAAUAACUGGUUUUACUGGUGUUUAAGAUGGAAAAUGUUCUGAAACUACAUUUAAAUCAUGAUGAGACACAAAAAAAUCUACACUGAGGGCCAGAGAAAUCCUGUCAGUAUCAGCAUUAUGAUCUGUCAACCCACCACACCUACACUAUUAUACGCAGUAUUUUUGCCUUUAAGGGGGCACUCCCCAAAUUUUACGAAUAAAGGUCAAUUUAUUAGGCAUGAACAGCACUACUACUCGGCCCAUGAGAGCCCUUGGCUUUUGCACUUGGAAAUGACAAAUUUAUAACAAAAAACUUACAAACUGGUAGUGUGGAGUUUGAAAUACUUAUAAACAGGCAGAGAGGGUCUAACAAAAAGAUGCCACUGGUUGCAUUAUGGGAAACGUAGGAUCCAGCAUCUCUGAAGCAUGACCCAUAAUAGGGAACAGAAGUCAGGAUAUCUCUGCACCUGUUUCUUCGAUUUUUUUCAUUUUUUUUAAAAUCUGACGCUUGACUCAAAUUUUCCAAUUUUUUCAAAGGGGAAAUAUUAAAUCUCUGGAGAAACUCUUUAAUAUUUGUCUAAUGUGGCCCAACAGACCAGUCUAGUCCCAAUGGAAACUGGUCAACACUUAACUUUAAGUCCCCCUAUUUAGCAUUUGUAAGCUGUGAAUAAACAGUUGAUAAAUUACUUUAGUGCACUAUAAUGUAGCUGUAAGCAUAUAGAGGUGUUUAUUAAGUCUUCUUGAGUUAUAAUUGUUAACAAAAACCGUAAAUUAAUAAACACUUAAAAAUGUCUUUAUACACUGCUUAUACAAGCAAAAUAGGGGGACUGGGAGUAAUGUGUUGCUACUUUUUUUUUUUGCUACGAUGGUGAGCAAAAAUGAGGUUAAAAUGUCACUGAGCCGCUAUAAAAAAGAAAGCAUUAGUAUUUAUGUCCAUGAUUUAUUAUCUGACGGGUGACAAAACAUAUGAUAUAAAAAAGCACUACAGCCACCUGCUCAAUCUGACCAAUGCACAGUUAACACACUAAUAUGGUUUUCAACUCCGUAUGGUGAAUGUAAUUUACAUUUAAAAAACAAUAAUAUCGCCCUGUGGUAAGUGUGGUAAAUAUAAGUAGCUGUGUUCCACAUCAAAGUGAAACAACAGUCUCUAGAUAUAAAAUGACACAUUUUAUGGUUAAAGUUCACAGAACUCACACUGAAGUCAUAUAAAAUUAAACACAAUAGCAGUCAUUAAAAAAGCAGCCAUUUGCAGUUCACUGUGGGCAAAGUCUUCCACCCACACACACUGCCUGUGAAUGUGUAAACGGCUUGUUUUGGAUAUUCCAAUGAGAAAGUAUUGACCCAUAUAAACAAGCAAAUGUUGAAGGCAUGAAAACUGUACCAUGUACCGAUGCUGAGUGUGUGUGUGCCUCUUUUCCAAUGAGUUCACCGAGAGUUUAAUGAGAAAGACAGAGGUUUGUCGUCCUGUUUUUCUUCCCUCACUCUGUCUGAAAGAACAGAGGAGGGGAGAGGCAGAAUUAGGAAAUGUACUCUCAAAAAUGUAAUCCUGUUACUUUUGGAGGACUUCCCCGUCCAGAACGUAGUGCAGUGGCAGGUGGGGAAAUAAAGAAAGAAAGGGAAAAAAAAGAGACGGAUGAAGAGGGAUGAAGGGGAUAAAGAGCUGCAGCAGUGGAGGGAACAGUCUGUACCUGCCAACCAGACACAGACAGGUUUCAUCCAGCCAGCAUUCAUCAUAAUAAGAACUUGAAUUCAUAAGCAAAAUGGGAACUGAGAUCGAUCAAAACUAAAUGACACCCGACCCUGUUGAAACGUCGCAGCGUCUGCACACCGACUACAGUGAGAGGUGGACUCCGAUAUAAAAAGGUUUGUUAGUUGUGAUAUAAAGUCGGUCUUUAUCUGUUUAAAAUCAGCCUGGUCUCUAAAGACAUGCUCAUGAUGGGAUUGUUCUGUUCUGUUUUGGUUCAAGGAUCCACAAAUAGCCCUAAAGUCCAGUUUCCACUCUCUUUUCUUUCUCUUUUGCUCCUUUAACGUCACAUCAGCAGCUGUGUCAGUGGAAGCUGUAUCACAGUAAAGAAGCAGCUAAGCGAGUUAACAACUGUGUCCUGACCGACACUCAUAUAUCAUCCAGUUAAAGACUCAUGGAGAAAAUAAUAUGCCAAGUUACAGUAAUUCAUCAUGAAUUGCGUUGGGGGGGAAAGUCACUCAAAUUUGGCUGAGAUGAAAAUACUACGUAGUAAAUGACUGAAUGAAUGUUGAUGUGACGGGAAAUGAUCCUUUAUUAGUUGAAAAUAUUAUAAAUAUUAUAUUGAUAUUGGAAACUAUUACAAUCCAUAUGACUAACUUCUGAAAAAUAACAUCACACUGAUGAUUUUUCACCACACGUUUAAUCAUUCUUUUCCACUUUGUGUCAUCAAAUCCUCAGAUCAUACCAUUCUUCCUAAAAACACAGCUACUGCAGAGUAUUACACACUUUUCUAGUGCUUCCUCGUAAUUAUUCUUCAUACCAAAGAUGAUCUGGCGUUUGUUUUCUGAGAAAAAUGAUUAAGUGUCUGAGAUCUUGCCUCAACUUGUGAUGAAAGAAUGAGAAAACAAAUGAAAAGAGAACAUCUGACAGGUCAUAAACCCAUUAAUCCAGUCUGCAGUUAUUUCUGUAGACGUGAUUCAUAUAAAUGUAGCCUCAGGAUGUGUAAUAUCACUUUAUCCUGACACACCCUGUCUGUUCAAGUGACGGCUAGCUGCUGGUUGAAGCUGUCUUCAGGCAUGAUGAAGGAUCAUCUACCGUGCUCACAUCUGCAACGCUUCACUGUUAGUCGGGACGUUACAACAGCUGCCAACUUCAACAUGAAAAUAAAAGCUUGUUGUGGCUGCAGAGAGCAGCUGAAAUCUACAAACUGCAGGUCCGAGCAUCUUGAAUGCAAAUGUGUGACAGCAGGUUGAGGACUCGUCCAUCAAGCACUAUAUAUAACCACACUGACUGCGUAUGUAAAUUCAGACAGCUCAACAUCCAGCUCACUGCGGAUAUUCGUCAUGCUUUACCAUUGUGCAGAUGUGAAUCUGAUUGGCUGAGACAGAGGUGCUUGUUAUGGCAACUAGCGACACCUGAUGGCUCGCGGGGUUGCCAAGUUAUUAAAGUCCGGGUUGCAGCUCCGGCAGUCUCUCUCCCUCCUCUGACUGCUUUCUACUUCUCCCUCUAGGCACCUGUUCUGGUUUGGUUUAGUUAUGCUGCCUCAGUUAUUUACUUCGCUUUCAUGCAUGUUCCAACACUCACGCACACACACAUUCUUCACUCAUGCAUCACGAACACUACUGAUACCACUGAUUUCUACACUCCAUACCAUAACUAUUUUGUUUAUUAUUUAAUUUGGCUUAAUUUGUUUAAUACAUGUAUCUUUUGUUA